GACGAACGCUGGCGGCGUGCUUAACACAUGCAAGUCGAGCGGUAAGGCCCCUUCGGGGGUACACGAGCGCGAACGGGUGAGUAACACGUGGGUGACCUGCCCUCAGCUCUGGGAUAAGCCUGGGAAACUGGGUCUAAUACCGGAUAUGACUCCAUGACGCAUGUCGUGGGGUGGAAAGCCUUGUGCGGCUGGGGAUGGGCCCGCGGCCUAUCAGCUUGUUGGUGAGGUAACGGCUCACCAAGGCGACGAUCCUUAGCUGGUCUGAGAGGAUGAUCAGCCACACUGGGACUGAGACACGGCCCAGACUCCUACGGGAGGCAGCAGUGGGGAAUAUUGGACAAUGGGCGCAAGCCUGAUCCAGCCAUGCCGCGUGAGUGACGAAGGCCUUAGGGUUGUAAAGCUCUUUUGGCGGGGAAGAUAAUGACGGUACCCGCAGAAUAAGCUCCGGCUAACUUCGUGCCAGCAGCCCGCCGUAA
rnacentral:rRNA from 1 species